UACGGAGGGUGCGAGCGUUAAUCGGAAUUACUGGGCGUAAAGGGUGCGUAGGUUGUUGUGUAAGUUAGUUGUGAAAUUCCUGGGCUCAACCUGGGACUGUCAACUAAGACUGCAUGACUGGAGUAUAGGAGAGGGUAGUGGAAUUUCCGGUGUAGCGGUGAAAUGCGUAGAUAUAGGAAGGAACACCAGUGGCGAAGGCGACCACCUGGACUGAUACUGACACUGAGGUGCGAAAGCGUGGGGAGCAAACAGG
rnacentral:rRNA from 1 species